UACAGAGGGGGCAAGCGUUGUUCGGAAUUACUGGGCGUAAAGGGCGCGUAGGCGGCCUGUUAAGUCGAACGUGAAAUCCCCGGGCUCAACCCGGGAACUGCGUCCGAUACUGGCAGGCUUGAAUCCGGGAGAGGGAUGCGGAAUUCCAGGUGUAGCGGUGAAAUGCGUAGAUAUCAUGAGGAAUACCAGAGGCGAAGGCGGCUACCUGGACAAUUGCUGACGCUCAGGCACGAAAGCGUGGGGAGCAAAAGGG
rnacentral:rRNA from 1 species